rfam:Selaginella moellendorffii unplaced genomic scaffold SELMOscaffold_52, whole genome shotgun sequence.
AUCCCAGCCACGGCUUUCUUUCUCGCCGUGUCUGAUUCAUCAGAGGCGCAUAGCAAACCAGAUCUGCAAGUUUCGCUGACAGCACCCGAUUCACCGCUGGGUGUCUAUCUGAUAGUAGCUUCGCAGACAUUC